rnacentral:miRNA from 1 species
UUGCAUAGUCGCAAAAGUGAUG